rnacentral:rRNA from 1 species
UACGGAGGUCCCAAGCGUUGUUCGGAUUCACUGGGCGUAAAGGGUGCGUAGGCGGCGCGGUAAGUCGGGGGUGAAAUCUCGGGGCUUAACUCCGAAACUGCAUUCGAUACUGCCGUGCUUGAGGACUGGAGAGGAGACUGGAAUUUACGGUGUAGCGGUGAAAUGCGUAGAUAUCGUAAGGAAGACCAGUGGCGAAGGCGGGUCUCUGGACAGUUCCUGACGCUGAGGCACGAAGGCGAGGGGAGCAAACAGG